rnacentral:lncRNA from 1 species
AAAAUUAUAAUUGUGGGAAAGAAAAGUAUGGGGAAGCCAUGAGUAUAUAAAAUAGAAGACACAGCUCUCUUGGAUGUGGAAAUAGUGAUGGUGAAAGCCAUGAUUUGAAAGAUGGCCACAGGCUGGUCUGAGUGCAGUGGUGUAUGAACAUAAGAGUAAAAUGAGGAGGGAGAAUGAGCAGGUAGAUGGUUUCAGGAAAAAAAAGGAAUAUGGUGAAUAUAGCCUUUGAGGCAAGAAGAGUGGCAUGGAAAGAGUCUUGAACAGAUGACCAUGGACAGAUAAUACAGUUUUGUAGGAUACGUAAGAAUAUCUUCUUUGAGCCUGUUGUAGCACAUGCCUUUUCCCUGCAGUAAUUUUGGAAAGUGAUCCAUUUAUGUGUAACAGACAUACACCAUUCCCACAUCCAACUUAAUCUUCUCACUUACAAAAUGUUUUCAUCUGAGUCUGAACCCUAUAUUUGGGGAGCCUGGAUUCCAAAAUAAUGGGCUCAAUGUAGUCACCAACUCCUUAGCUUUAUAUAUCAUAGGAUAAAUUCUAUAAGAAAAGUUGAAUGGCUGCUAUCUAGCAGGAUAAAUGCCAAGUAGCUUAUCAACUUGUGCUGUUUUGAGGUAAUCAUAGCCAUGACCCUGGAAGCAAGCUUUUUACCUGCCAUUAUCAGAUUAGUGUGUGUAAACUAGAGGUACUGAUCUUGGUCUCUUUUCGGCAUAUAAACAUUGAUAUCUUUCUUGGAUCUGGCUAUUAAAAUUUGGAGUUCUAACAUGAAUCAUGUUUCAAAAUGUUAGUCUCUUUUGACUUAUUGUGCAGACUGAUUGAAAACUUG